UACGUAGGGGGCGAGCGUUAUCCGGAAUUACUGGGCGUAAAGCGCACGCAGGCGGUUCGCCAAGUUUGGAGUGACAGUUGUCGGCUCAACCGACAAAGGACUUCAAAAACUGGUGAACUUGAGAGCGAGAGAGGAACAUGGAACUCCAGGUGUAGUAGUGAAAUGCGUAGAUAUCUGGAAGAACACCAAUGGCGAAGGCAAUGUUCUGGCUCGUUUCUGACGCUCAGGUGCGAAAGCCAGGGGAGCGAACGGG
rnacentral:rRNA from 1 species